GGGGAUGACAGGCUUCGACGGGAGAGGCUGAGCCCGGAUUGCGAGCCGAGAGGCACCGAUCUCGAUAAAUCAGUGCAAAACACAAGUGCCAAUCGCACUUCAUAUGCCGCUCUUCCUCUCGCUGCAUAGGCGAUAGAAGAUCAGCAAUGAGCCUCUUGCAGGCUCACGUCCACCUGCCCCGUCCUCCGACCGGAGGUAGAGUGGGCGUAAAAAGGUCGGAGUGCCACACACGACGCUGCUACCUGUGUGAAAGAGAGCUUUCGGGCUCUGGCAGCUAGCCAGUUGGCUUUUUUGUCGCUUGUAAGCCAGCUGACGAAUCUAACAACCGACUAUGCUCGUAGAUAUCUGCGGAUCUAUUCUUUCGGACGCGGGUUCGAUUCCCGCCAUCUCCACUU
rnacentral:tmRNA from 1 species